GAGUUUGAUCCUGGCUCAGAUUGAACGCUGGCGGCAUGCCUUACACAUGCAAGUCGAACGGCAGCACAGCAGUAGCAAUACUGUGGGUGGCGAGUGGCGGACGGGUGAGGAACACAUCGGAAUUUGCCCAGUCGUGGGGGAUAACGUAGGGAAACUUACGCUAAUACCGCAUACGACCUUACGGUGAAAGCGGGGGAUCGCAAGACCUCGCGCGGAUGGAUGAGCCGAUGUCGGAUUAGCUAGUUGGUGGGGUAAAGGCCUACCAAGGCGACGAUCCGUAGCUGGUCUGAGAGGAUGAUCAGCCACACUGGGACUGAGACACGGCCCAGACUCCUACGGGAGGCAGCAGUGGGGAAUAUUGGACAAUGGGGGCAACCCUGAUCCAGCAAUGCCGCGUGUGUGAAGAAGGCCUUCGGGUUGUAAAGCACUUUUAUCCGGAACGAAACGUGCGGGGUGAAUAGCCUCGUAAACUGACGGUACCGGAGGAAUAAGCACCGGCUAACUUCGUGCCAGCAGCCGCGGUAAUCCC
rnacentral:rRNA from 1 species